rnacentral:rRNA from 1 species
GAUGAACGCUGGCGGCGUGCCUAAUACAUGCAAGUCGAGCGAACAGACGAGGAGCUUGCUCCUCUGACGUUAGCGGCGGACGGGUGAGUAACACGUGGAUAACCUACCUAUAAGACUGGGAUAACUUCGGGAAACCGGAGCUAAUACCGGAUAAUAUAUUGAACCGCAUGGUUCAAUAGUGAAAGACGGUUUUGCUUUCACUUAUAGAUGGAUCCGCGCCGCAUUAGCUAGUUGGUAAGGUAACGGCUUACCAAGGCGACGAUGCGUAGCCGACCUGAGAGGGUGUUCGGCCACACUGGACCUGAGACACGGUCCAGACUCCUACGGGAGGCAGCAGUGGGGAAUCUUCCGCAAUGGGCGAAAGCCUGAGGGAGCAACGCCGCGUGGGUGAUGAAGGUCUUCGGAUCGUAAAACUCUGUUAUUAGGGAAGAACAAAUGUGUAAGUAACUAUGCACGUCUUGAGGGUACCUAAUCAGAAAGCCACGGCUAACUACGU